GACCAGCAAUGAAAGAAAAAAUUGCUUCAGGUGCCCCUAUUUUUGAGACUAUUGUGGCAGGCAGUAGCAGCACCCACAUUGGUACAAGUGGCAGUCAACAAAGUGUGGUGACUCCUCAUUACCUAAAAUCCAAAAUUAGUACACCUCUCAGUACUCCUUACAGAAAAAAGAAGAGUCGUACUGCCGAGGCAACACAUUUAUUGCAGUAAAAAUAAUUUAAUAGACAAAUGAUCCUUUUCAUAUUUAUCACAAUUUCUUAAAAUUUUUGGACAUAUAUGAACCAAUAUAAAGAAAUGUUUAGCCACUCCAUAUUUAAUAUUUUCAAACAUAACAGAUGGCAAUAGUAUUUACAAGUUAUGCCUACCUGGGGACUGCAUUUUUAUGUGGGUGCAGUCCAUAGCUCCUACUACUCUAGGAAAUCUACUGAGGCUAUAAAAUCCAUUGACUACCCUCUUUUCAUCAAUAUCAUUUGUUGGUAUGAAAUUAAAUUUGGCUUUUGCCUAGCUAUGGCCCUGCAAACUUGGUGAACCUAUCGACAGGCUGAGGAUUCACUGACUCCAGCAAAGUCAGCAACACACAACAAAAAUGAACCUGUAGCGAGAUACCUCGGCAUCAUAUACAAUUUACUAGGUGGUAAUAUCGCUCUGUUUCUGAAAAAAUAAAUUAAUAUAAGGUAUGCGAUGAAAACAAAAUGUUUUUUCUGGAAUUAAAGUCUACUUACCUUGUAGAAGGAGGAUAUAUUUCAUGUUCUAUUGAUCUUAAAAUUGUAUUAAACGUUGCUUUUGAAAGGCAAAAUAGAUUAAUAAAAUCAUGGUCAUCGUACAAUUCAAGGUAGUUGACCCUCGUAAAAAAUUUUGGGUCACCGUUGCAUUGCAAUAACUUUGUCAUCAAAUAAUA